rnacentral:rRNA from 1 species
UACCUUGCACAAUCCCACUUCUCUUUCUCUUACCCUCGAGGUUACUCAUCUUUCUUACCUACUUUAUUGUCUUUUUUCCCNNNNNGGCUAUGGUUUAAGCGAGUCGUGGCUAACACUCAAUUCGAGCGGGGAAAAGUAUGCUUCGGUAACUGCACCUAGCGGCGGACGGGCCGAGUAAUGCUUAUUAUUCUGCCUAUUAGUGGGGGACAACGUUCCGAAAGGAAUGCUAAUACCGCAUACGCCCUACGGGAGAAAGCAGGGGAUCUUCGGACCUUGCGCUAAUAGAUGAGCCUAAGUCGGAUUAGCUAGUUGGUGGGGUAAAGGCCUACCAUGGCGACGAUCUGUAUCGGGUCUGAUAGGAUGAUCCGCCACACUGGGACUGAGACACGGCCCAGACUCCUACGGGAGGCAGCAGUGGGGAAUAUUGGACAAUGGGCGGAAGCCUGAUCCAGCCAUGCCUCGUGUGUGAAGAAGGCCUUUUGGUUGUAAAGCACUUUAAGCGAGGAGGAGGCUCCUUUAGUUAAUACCUAAAGAGAGUGGACGUUACUCGCAUAAUAAGCACCGGCUAACUCUGUGCCAGCAGCCGCGGUAAUACAGAGGGUGCGAGCGUUAAUCGGAUUUACUGGGCGUAAAGCGCGCGUAGGCGGCUUUUUAACUCGGAUGUGAAAUCCCCGAGCUUAACUUAGGAAUUGCAUUCGAUACUGGAAAGCUAGAGUAUGGGAGAGGAUGGCAGAAUUCCACGUGUAUCGGUGAACAUGCGUAAGAUCUGGAGGUCAUACCUUUGGCAUAAGGCGCCCUUCUGCCCUUUUAUUGAUUCUGUAGUUCUAUCCCCAUGGAGUACUCAAACUAGAUUAUCUCACCCUUGCUUAUUCCCCCUUUCCUAAAACUAAGAUUUCAACUUUUUCCGCUUUUCGCCCUCUUAAUGCAUUUAUCUGUCUCUCCCUCUCUAUUUUCCUUCAGUUAUCCCCUCCAUUUCGUUUACAUCCUUUUGCCACCAUCAUCCACUACCGUUCACUCUUUUCAUCUACAUCUUUUUCAUUCUUCAUUUCUUA